AGUUAAGAAAAAAUUCUAAUAAAUACAUUAAUUAAGAAAAAAUUUUUCUCAAUAUAAUAGUUUUUCAAUAAAAAUAUUUUAAAAUUGGCAAAUGAGAUUACAAAAUUUGCACACUCAGAUAUAGCAUAUCACACAGUAAUAUAAGUAAAUUUUAAAUAUGAUUCGUAUUUUUCACACAUAAAAUCUACUCUUAAAUGUUAAUAUGGUUUUUUACGGGACCUGUAUGACUGCUAUGAUAAAAUGUCAAUGGAUUUUUUGGUCUGAAGAAAGUAUCCUUGUUUAUUUAACUAUUUCAAUGAAGAAGAUUAUAGUUACAAGAAAUAGUAGAGAGUAGAUAGUAGAGAGAGAGAGAGAGAGAGAGAGAGAGAGAGAGAGAGAGAGAGAAAUAACAAAUAUUUUUUCAUCAGUGAGAACACGAUUACAGUAUCGCGUUGGAUUAAGAAUUAAAUUUCCUAAAGACACUCACGAGUCCUUACUUAAUUCCUCUUUCGUGCCUUCUAUAACGACGAAUAACUCACUGAUAAGGUGAUACCAAGGAACCGCACCGGAAUAAAACGUUAAGACCGCGGUGGAGCGAAAAGCCGCGGCACUCAAGCUGCUGGAAUUAUCAUCGCUCGUAAGUCACGGCGCGAACAUUGCAACUGCAACUACAGUGCAGCAGCAUGGCAGUGCGCGCGGUUCGCGGGCGCAUCGGGGACGAGAUAACUCGUAUAAAUAACCCGGAAGUCCGCGGUGCACAAUAGUCCCCCUUUUUUUACGAGUAUGACUUUUGGGAGUUUCAAGGCUGCACGCUUGGGACGCCGCGUUGGUAAUCAGUUCGUUGUUACCAAAAUGCACUGAGCGAGUCAGAAAAAAAAGAAAAAAAGAAGCAUUGAACCCCUCCCUCUCUCUCUCUCUCUCUCUCUCUCUCUCUCUCUCUCUCUCUCUCUCUCUCUCUCUCUCCCCCUCACUCCACUUCUCUCCAUUCAUUUCUAGGCACAAUCGCGAAUUUUUGCGGCGUCCUAGAUUGUACAUCGAAUAUUUAAUUCGUGCCGCAAACCGCACGGGAAACCGCCGGGCUCUCUCCCGUUCCCAAAAUCGCUCCAGUAUCACAGUCACCCGAUACCCAAAUCGAACCAUUACGUCCGACAUUCCGCGCAGCGAGAAUGUUAUCGAGUGAUACGCCUGUUACGAAUGUAAAAUCGUAAUAUUCUUGCAUCAUUUACUCUGGGCGGUGAUGUUUCAGUUUCGCGCGUGCGUAUGCAGAACGUGAUAAAUAAAUUUGCCACAAUUAAAAAACGAAUUCGCCGCGUCCGAUGACGUAGCCUGACACGACGUACGGCACGAAAUAUAAAAUAAAAAUUUCAGACGAGAUAUAAAAGUUUUUUUUUUAUGGAAAAACAAACUUUACGAGAUUCCACUCUGUACAUGAAAUGGGAUACGGAAAAUUUAACAAAAAAAAAAAAAAAAAUAGAUUUUUCUUUGCAAGAAAUAAUCAUUGUAGUUCUCUUUUUGGAGGAAAAGGGGUAAAAAUGUGAACGCAAUGUAACUCUCUGCACUUGUUAAUUUCUACUUGUCAGGUAUUUAUUAUUUUAUUACCUUCGAAUGCAAAAUUAAUCCCGCUACACUUUAUGUAGCAAUAUAUGUUAAAGCAAUGUAUGCAUUUUUGCGUUUUUCGCGAAUUUCCAUUCGGAGCGUAUGCACAAUGUUAUGAUACACCCCCACUAUUACAAAAUACAAAAAUUCUUUUAACGCGGACAACGUGAAUUCUUUUUCUGCGUGAUUCCACGUGGAGAGGGAGGGGAAGAGAAAAGGACAAUAUGUAAUUUGUAUGAAAAAAUGCAACCGCAAUUUUUAUACGAUGCGUCAUACAUUAAACGCGCCAUCGGUCGGUCAGAUAUUACGCGUAAAUACUGGAGAUCGAUUGUAUAACCGCGACGUCCAGCAUUAUUUUCCACUUGCACUCGCGCACUCGACUGUCGUAUUGUGUGCACGCGUAUACAUACGUACGUACGUACACAUAUAUGCGUAUGUAUAUGAAUUUUGGGAAUUCGACGGACGACGGGCAAAGCUGUUGGGAACCGGUUUUGGUUUUGUAUUAGCAUGUAACUCCGGCAGGAGUUGAAGUUGCGAUGGCUUGUGGGUGGCCGGGCGGCGGCAGGGAGGGUAAUUACCUCCUUGGGGAGCGCCCUCUCCACGGCGUAGCCCGGUAUAGCCCCAGCACGGGUACAGAGGCUUCCCACUGCUCCCAGUGGUCCCGCGGGAUCGCACCAGCGGUUCUCAUGCUCGCGGUUCUCAUUUCGCCAGAAUUGGAUCUUGUCAGCCCGGAGGACAGCGACGAGAAAAAGAUGCUCAUAACACUCAAAUGGAGUGUCGAAUGUACUUUGUGCGUAUCUAACAUCAAAGACAAAAUAUAUAGAUGCUUAGAGAUACUAACUGCAAUAUCAAGAGACACGGUAGUGGCUCGCGCCAAGUGAAAGCGUAGCGUGAGCCCGACCGUGCUCUUUUACGCGAGUACGCGACUUGCGAGCAUCCGAGAUUAUCAGAUCUCAGAAACGGCUAAACCGAUCGAGUUCUAACUAGACUCAAUCGAAAGCUUAGGGUCGAUUUGUAUCAGAAAAGUGUUUUUAUUUUUCCUCUAUGUACUUUAUGAGAGGAGAUUAUCACGACGCAAAGUCCGAAAAGCCAAAAUUUCAUUUAAGAUACGUCGUCGUCAUUAUUAUCAUCGUCAACAUUGUGGGUAUCUUUGCGGGUAGUGCGGGUGCCGAAAAUGAGGGACGAAAUUCCAUCUCGCGCAUCUGCUACCAUGCGGCGUUCGCAUCGUCACUAUAGCACCAUGUAUGGCAAUAUUUUAUUUUUAUUUAUUUUUUAUAAGUCACGAUGAGAUGUUGCAUAAUGUAAAAUGUGUAUUAUUGCUGUAAUUGUCAACAAUGAUAAUGUCGUAAGGAUAAAGUAAAGAAUAAUAUUAUUAAAAAUAGUAUUAUUAAAUCAUUCAUUUGAAAUUUUAUUAAAUUUAAUUAGUAGUUAUUAAUAUUGAUUUUGAUUGAUUUGACAAUUACAGCAACAUUUAACCAAUACACAAUUCUUCUACAUGAUACAACAUCUCAUCUCUCAUUGACACUAAUAUAAAAUCAGAGAACUAUUUUAUUAAUUUUACAUUGUUUUAAUGUAAGUUGCUCGGAUCAGAAUUCAGCUUGUGUCAAGUGACAUGUGUAGUGGAGGUUAAAUCGUUUAUUUAUCGAAAUAGAUGAGAUGUUGCGUGAUGUAAAUUAUUGCUGUAAUUGUCAAUCAAUGAUAAUGUUGUAAGGAUAAGAAUUUUAAUAAACAUGUGGGUCGGCAGUAACUCGUUCACGCUACGCGCCAGCUUUCAUCAAGGGUGCGUUUUUAAAUUCGCAACGGAUGCACUGGAGUGUCAUCCUAUCUUUGUUCAACUUUCCGUAAGUAACAAAGAUGGAAUGACAUUCUGGUGUAUCUGGCAGCAUCCGUUGCGAAUUUAAGAACGCAUCCCAAAUGACGUGUAGUGUUAAUAAAAUAAUGUCAACUGUUUCAAAAUUGCUGUCUGUACUGAUACAUACAUUAUAGAUAGAUUUUCAGUACUGAGAGCAAUUUUGAAACAUAGUCUUUAUUGUGCUUUAAUUUAAUUUAUAAUCAUGUUAAUAGAUAAAAACUCGGGGUGACGGAGAGUAGGAGAGAGAGAGAAGAGAAAGAGAGAGAGAGAGAGAGAGAGAGAGAGAGAGAGAGAAAGAGAAUUAUAUGUGUCUUUUCUGAACACAGCGCAUUAUCACCGAUAGCUCAGUGAACAGCAAUUCAUUAUUUAAUGAUUUUUCAGUGGAAACUCAGGAUGAGAGAGACAAAGAGCAGGAGAGAAAGAGAGAAGGAAUUAUAUAUGUGAUCUAAACCAGCGAAACAUGAAUGAUGACAGUAUAUUACCAUCGAUAGCUCAGUGGAGAUAUUAUUAUUUAAUGAUUCUUUAGGCAAGUCGCACAU